rnacentral:lncRNA from 1 species
GUACCAGGUCGGGAUUCUCCCNCCCACACUGGACAUCUCUCAACUAGAGGCAGAGUUCGGGGGACCCACUGGAGGUCGGCCUGACAAGGUUACCGAGGAGGUUCCAGAGGCCCAGGAGGCGGCCAGUGCUGAAGUUCCUCCCACAGAUUAGGGUUUCCUUUGUAAUGGCUUCGGCCCCCAUGUACUUCAAUUUCAUGAAAUGGAAAAUUUUGUUAAAUUUCUUUUUCAAGUUCUUUCGCUUCUGCUUCUUUGUAUCUCUUUUUGUUUUAUACUUGUAUGAAUGACAAACAUUAGGCCGACUGCCUCGUGACAAUGACCAGUUAACAAUUGUGAAUCGGUCUCCUUAAGCGAACACAAGUCAGCACUUAAGUGGGUUGGAAGUGACCCCUUACUUUAACCUCUUAAUAAUCUGAGGCCAGAGCAAUUAGGAAAAUGCGAGGAAACGUUUGUUCAUCAGCUAAUAAGUGACGAUAGAAUCACUCAAAUGAACAUUUUGAAGAACUGAGGAAACCUUUCCUUGGCUGACCCGGUUUGGAACUGAAAAUUCAUUACUGAAGAUAAGUUACACCCCUUAAAAACGGUGAUUCCAUCAUUUAAUAAUCUUUACAACCAACGUCGGAUCAGGACAACUGAUUUAGUUAUGACGACCUAGGAUCAAAUUGGAACAUUCUUGUUACUGGUAAUAUUUUCUCAAGUGCUCUAUGUUCCACUUGUGAGGUAACACCCUUCCAGACAUAUCUUCGACCUCGAAAGUACCAGGUCGGGAUUCUCCCCGAAUGCGGUACGGGCCUUCCCAGUUUGGGCUAAAAACUCCUGACCCGGUUGGUUUCGAAGAUUGGAACACCCUUUUGAGAACAAGGUCGCCCAAGCGGAGAGUUCUGUUUCUAACCUUGGAGUUGUAAAAGCGGGUCAUCUUACGAUGGUAUUUCGCUAAGGUUAUCUGGGAAGCGUCUCUCUUCUCCUCAAGGAGGUGUAGUUCACUUAUGCGCGCCUCAUCGUUGCUGAUCUCAUUGAAAUGUAUCCGCCGAUGUGAUGGGACACCGACCUCGACCGGACUCAUCGCUUCGGCUCCGUAGGUCAUUGAGAAUGGGGUCUCACCCGUUGCGGUCCGGCAAGUCGUUCUGAUGGCCCAGAGGACGUGGGGGAGUUCGUCAACCCAUGCGCCUUUUGAGGCAUCCAGUUUCCUUUUCAGGGUGUGCUUGAUAGUCUUGUUCACUGCUUCGACCUGUCCAUUUGCCUGAGGAUGAUGCGGAGUCGAGAAGUCUUUCUUUAUGCCUAGUUCGUCGCAUAACUCUCGCAUCUUCCUGUUGUCGAACUGCCGCCCAUUAUCAGAGACAAUGGAGUGAGGGAUGCCGAACCUGCAGAUGACGUUUUUCCAAACGAACUUCGUAGUGUUGGCUUCGGUGAUUCGGGCAAGGGGUUCUGCCUCGACCCACUUAGUGAAGUAGUCGAUGGCGACAAUGGCAAAAGUUGCGCUCCCUCUACCCUUUGGUAGCGGACCAAUGAAGUCGAUGCCCCACUUGGCGAACGGCCAAGGGCUGGUCACUAUGGAGAGGCUCUGCGCAGGCAGUCUUUGUACGUUCGAGAAGCGCUGGCAUUUGUCACAUUUCUGGACAAAUUGGCAAGCAUCCCUUUUCAGGGUUGGCCAGAAGUAGCCCUGACGGAGGACCUUGUGUGCCAGAGCCGUCCCUCCUGAGUGAUUUCCGCAGAUCCCUUCAUGUAUUUCUCUGAGUACGUAGGUGGCCUCUUCGCCGCCCACACAUCGAAGAAGGGGAGAGGCAAAGCCUCUCUUGUAAAGGGUUCCUUCGUGGAGGACGAAGUGUGCGGCCCUUCUUCUUAACUUCCUUGCUUCACUUCUGGAAGCAGGCAGCGUUUGCUCUUUUAGAUACGCCAUUAUGGGCUGCGUCCACAAUGGGGUGACUUCUAUCCACAGCAACUCCUCACCUUCGAAGGUGGAGGGCUUUGAUAAGUGCUCAAUGGGGACGAUGUUCAGAAGCUCUGAGUUCACGCUGCUGGCCAAUUUUGAGAGGGCAUCUGCAUGAGCAUUCUCCAGACGAGGGACUUGAGUCAGUUCGAAUUUUUCGAAAUGGGGAAUUAUGUCCAGAACCAGCUUCAAGUAUGCGAGCAUGUUAUCAUCUUUGGCCGCGAAGUCCCCAUUUACUUGAUUCACCACGAGCUGAGAAUCACUGCUUGCCAGAAGCUUC